GCUGAUGGUGAUUCCCAACUCCACUCCUGGUUUCUUUGGAAGCUUCACGUGAAAUGUUCCCGAGGACGGAAUGACCGACUCUGAAAUAAACAAAGCCGGACACCUCAAAACGCACGUAAACCCCAGCCUGUGUACUGUAUGUGUGCGUGCGUGCUUACCAGCCACAUCAAACUCGAUCUCCAGGGAUGCCACACCUCCACACAAAUACAACAUUAGCUGUUAGUAAACCUGGUGUAUGUGCCGAGUGGUUACCUCUCAGCGGGACUGUCGGGGUCGAUGUAGGCGAUGAGUGGCGGCGAAGACAGCGUCUCGGUGGCGAAGACUCCGCCUUGCAGCUGAAGGCCAAAGCCCAUGAUGCCGUCGCCUAGCAACGCCACCUCCGUGGUUUCCGUGUGCACCACCUGACCGGCAAGACCCACAGUGCUGGACGCCAAAGACACUGAGAGAGCACGCAUGAGUAUCAUCUCGCCAUAGUGGCCAUGUCAUCAUCUCAUCAUGGUAUGAGACUCACAGGAACUCUUAAAGUCCUUCUUCUUCUGCUUCUUCCUCAUCAGCGUGCCCCGUGGACUUGUGGGAUACGCGCUCCUGGGCAGGGUGCUCAUGUUGAGGGACGAGAGACUGUAGGCCGACAUGGAACCCGGCGAGAACGAGUGGCUGAGCGCUGCAUUGUGGAAAGACGGGAAGAACAUGGAGGUGGACAGAGCCACGCCCAGACUGGAGCCCGUCGCCUUGGCAACCUCCACCAGCAGUGGGCCGGACGCCGUGGCGACCGAGUCUUGACAGAAGGUUAAAGGUCAGGCGAUAGCUCCCAUGUGGAUGUCACAGGUGAUGCGUCAUCUUCUCACCCAUGACGGACACGUCGUACUCUAAGAGCAGCGUGGCUUCCUGACCGCACUGCUUAAGGAUAUUCAUGGCCUCUGACAGCGUGUUGCCAUGGAGACGGAUCCCAUCGAUGCUCAGCAAGCGAUCGCCCGGCUUGAUGGUUCCCUCCCUGCGGAGGGAGAAAGAGGGCCGAGUGAGAGGGUCCACGGUACGUGAACACACGAUCAAGGUGGCUCACCUGUCUGCGGACCCGCCUGGGCGAAUGGUUGUUAUGACGAUGGGCCGGGACUUGUUCCUGUCUUCAGUGGCUCCGCCUACAUGACAGGAAGUCAUACCAUGUCAUGUCGUUUUGCCACGCACGCACGCACGCACACACCUCUGAUGAUGAAGCCGAAGCUGUUUCCAUCUUUGUGCAGCGUCACCUCCACGGUCUUGAACAUGACCCCUGACCCCUGCACGCCUGCAAGUGCACACACGAACAACACGUCACUCUCACGCCAACGCCACGUGUCCUGCGCGUGCUAGGAUGGGCGGCGUCACGCACAGACGGGCGGCAGCUCGUACUCCACCUCCAGCACCACGCGCUCGCCCACGUUCUUUAGCAAACUGAUGAUCUCGUCAUGACGGAACUUGGCCAAGUUGAUGCCGUUCACUGCGCGGAUGUAGUCACCAACGUUGAGCU